GGAGGAUUCUGAAGUCAGACUUUGCCAAUCUCACAAUUCUGCCCAAAGCCAUUGCUCCCUCAGACAAUCACUCUGCCUUUUGUUUGAAUUUCUAAUUUUCUGUUUACCGAGAGGGCUGCCUGUUCACAUGAAUGAAAAAUCACAGUUUGAUCUGAUUCAGAGUUUGUUUUUUUUUCUCCCUCCCUCAGCAUAACAGCUCACACAUCUGAGGGCUGCAGCUAAAAAGUGAUUUUUAAAGACUUCUCAUUGGCAAAGAAAUCAAUGGAAAGAAAUAUCCCCUUUUCUCCUCCUCUCUAUUCUGUUUUUAAUUUUUUUCUUUCCUCUCCAGUCCCCUGCUAGGAAAGUUUUGUCUGAGGCCAUCCAACAUACAUUUUCAGAAAGUUGCCUUGUUAAGGAUGGGGGUCCUGCUGGGUGAACCAAGGAGGUGGUGAGUUCCCUACAGUCCUGGCAAUUAACUCAGCUCAAGGAAGAGGUAGAAUCAAACAAUUCCAUCAGGAAGAUUGAAUCCCAAGGCAAAGUCAUCUUUCAAAGACAGGGUUAUUGCUAACAUAUCUUCGUAGCAGCCUCCAAGGAGCAAGUCUCCAGAGGGGGUAAUAUUAAUUAGUGGGAGGGGUCAGAGAGGGAUGAUAUUCGAAAAAGAUGUAGAAGAAAGGGCUCAGGGUCCACUCUAUCACUUGAUCGCUGUGCUAUCUUGGGUAAGUUGGUUAACCUCUCUGAGCCUCAUUUCUUUAUCCGUGAAAUGGGUGAAUACUCUACAUUUUAGUGAGAUAAGGCAGUGAGGUAACUGGCAAGGAACAUAGGUCAGUGCAAAUAAAAGGGGCUGUAAAAAAAUUGUGGUAAGAACACUUCACAUGAGAACUACUCUCUUAAAUUUUUAAGUACACACUGCAGUAUUGUUAACCACUGGCAAAAUAGAUUUCUAGAACUUAUUCAUCUUGUGUAAUUGAAACUUGAUUGCUGUUGAACAGCAACUCCUCACUUACCCUUCCCCCAGCCAUCGGCAGCCGCUAUUCAACCCUCUGUUUCUGUUUGACGAUUUUAACAGGUGAAAUCAUACAGUAUUUCUGUAACUGGCUUAUUUUACCUAACAUACUGUUCUCCAGGUGCAUCCAUGUUCUUGCAUGUAACAGGAUUUCCUUCUUUUAAAAAGGUGAAUACAAGUUCCCAUUGUGGCUCAGCAGGUUAAGAACCUGACAUAGUGUCCAUGAGGAUGUGGGUUUGAUCUCUGAUCUCACUCAGUGGGUUAAGGAUCUGGCAUUGCUGCAAGCUGCUGCAUAGGUCACAGAUGCAGCUCAAGCCUAAGUCCUGGCUCCAGGCCAUUUGAUCUUGAUCUUAAAUUCAAUUUCCAAAACCUCCAUCUUUACAUUCCUAAGUGAGGGAUUAAACUUGACCACAGUCUCUGUGAUAUUCUCGUGUGUUGUCCCUACCCACCCUUCCCAGAACCACCUCCUGCAAAUGACCAGAUGAAGAAAAUUAGUCAAAGCUGUCCAAACCAGCAUAUUCACACAGAUAAUCCAAACCAAUUAGGAAAUGGGCAUGAAGUCAGUUCAGCAUCUUAUGAGGCUCCUAGCUUGACUUUCUUUAGCUCUAAAUCGAUAAGGCUGUUUGGGAGACAGAACUAAUUUAGGUGGAACACUUUCCUUGGAGGGUGGAGGUUGGGGGGGAAAAAGUAGCCAUGUAUGACAGAUUAUGUUUUUCGAGGAUGGACAAUAGUAAUCUCCAGUCCUACAUGCUUACCUAGCCAUCAGGGGUCUAUGUCAUUUUCUCUUGAGCCUGGGUGACCUUUGUGACUACCUUGAGUAAUAGGAUAUCAACGGAAAUGGUGCCAUAUGACUGAUGUCCCAGGCUAGUCCGUAAAAAUGCUGUGCAGUUCACUCUUGUUCUCUUAGAACAUUCGCUUUUGGGACACAGACUCCAUGCUGUGUGGAAGCUUAGGCAGCCUGUGGAGAGGAAACAAGCUCCCCAGUGCAUAGUUUUGGCUGGUUUCCUGACCUAAAACCAGCACCAAGUUGUUGGCCAUGCAAAAGGACCUCUUUGAAAGUGGAUCCAAAAGCACCCAAUUGAGCUGCCUCACCAGAUGCUGCUUGGGACAGAGGCUGGUCAUCUCUGUCAGGCCCUGCUCAAAUUGUAGGUUCAUGAGCCAAAUAAAUGAUCAUGGUUGCUUUAGGCCACUUAAGUUUUGGGGUGUUUUGUUGGGCAGCAAUAUAUAAAAGAUACAGCAUUGAACAGACACUUUCAUGACCUUUCUUAGUUUUGUGUGUAUGUAGGGAAUGAGUAGACUUAAAGAGCAAAUAGAAAAGAGGGCUGAAAAUGGGCUUCGAAGGGAUGUAUACCCCAGUCCUAAUAAUUAGCAUGAGAUCUAAUCAUUCACACACCCUGAAAAGUGAGGGAUAUUGUUACCAUCUCACAGUUGAGGAAAUUGAUGCCCAGAGAGCUGAAGUCUCUCAUCGAAGGUCACAAAACCAGUAUGUUGCAGUGCUUGCUCUUGAGCCCCAGUCUGUCUUCUUGACCACUGCGUGAUGCCAGACUCAAUUCUUUCUUGACCAGAGGCCUUUUCUUAACAGACUAUAACCAUUCAAUCAGGACAUUUUGGAGUCCCAAUUGUGAUUCAUUAUGCAUUUAAUAGUUACUUCUAAUACAUAUUUAGUGCUUACCACAUGUCAGGCACAUGAUAAGCACCUUACUUACUUAUUUCAUUUAAUUCUUACAAUUACCUUCAGGUUUCAGAUGAAGGACCUGAGCUCUGAGAGGUUAAAUGACUCACUCAAGGUCACAUAGGUAGGAAAUGACAGCUCUGGGUCUGACACCAAUUCCCUACUUAUUAACCACUCCUACUUCCUAAUUUUAUGGAUAAAGAUGGGAAGUAGAAGGAACAGGGGGAGGGGGAAGGGAAUGGAAGUGGGAGGGAGGGAAAGAAGGAGAGACAAGGCAGGUGGGUUUUGUUGAUGCCACAAUGGGUCACUUUCAAAUAGAGACAUCCCCAGUGGGGGAGGGGUGUGCAGAUUGUCAAGCCAUUGUGCUGAAGACACCAAGUCUGGGCCUGGGGACUGGGGGCCAUUGCCUCCCAGAGAGCUAUUCUUCUUCCGGUUAUGUCUUAGAAAUAUAGGAAGUGAAGGAGAGAGUGUGUUGAAAUGAAAUACUGUGUAAUUCAUUUGUCUUCUUUACCGAGGAAAUCUCCCUAUAAUUUAUCAGUAGGAAAGGUUUAAGUGAAUUUUGUAGUUCUUUUUAUGUGCCCUUAAAAGGCAGGUUCUAGUUUGCCACUGGGGGCUUUUUCAUCAUUCUCUGAACCACAAGUGGGGUUAUGCUUCAGAAAAAGGAGAGAAUUUUAAGAAAAAUAAACAAGCAAGAUUUUUCACAACCAGAAGCUAUAUACUCAAAUGCAAAGAGAAGGCAAAGUGUCCCCCAGAAUGUAAAUUUCUUUCUUUAUCCCCAAUACAGGGAGCAUGAACACACAAACACAUGAUCUAGCACAUGUGUAUAGCCAUACACAUAAUCCCCCAAACAUAGUCAAACAUGGCACACACACAAACAGAUGCAUACACAUAGUCGUGCACGUAGACAGACAGACACACACAUCACUAGGAUUCCCUGAGCACUAGGCUUUUCAGGUGGCUCUCAUUCUCAAAUUAUAUCUAGUUUUUGGCCCUGAGGCUGGCAUGCUUGGGUUCACAUUCUGUUUCUGGCCCUUGUUGGUUUUAUAUCCUUGGUCAAGUCUCAUACCCUGUCUGUGCCUCAGUUUCCUCAUAGGUAAGAUGGAUAUAAUAAAAUAUCUAAUUCAGAGAGUUGCUGUGGGAAUUAAGUGAGUUAUUGCAUGUGUAAUGCUUAGAAAAGUGUCUGGCGCACAGCAGCUGUGAAAAUGUUAGUGAUUAUUGCUGCUGUGAGUUGGGUAAAUAUACCACUGUGAUCAUUAUCACCACCCACCCCUGGCUAUUGAACCCUUGAACCCUAGUGUGCUAGGCCCUGUGCCAGGUGGAAUACUUGAAUUACCUCCUUUAAUACUCAAAACAACUGCAUGAGAAGAGCACUGUUAUUUUGCCCCAGGAGGAAAUUGAGGCCUAGAAAGGUUCAAUAACUUGCCCAAGGUCACCCAUCCAGUAAAUGGAUAAACUGGGACUUGAACCUAGGUCUGUUUUAUUUCAAGCUCUUGUUUUCACUGUGUACAACAUAUGACUUCAGUCACAGGGUACUUAGCAGGAAAAUUCUCCUCUUCUAGGUUAUAAGUGCUCUAGGGACUGUUCCUGUCUUGUUCAUUGCUGUUUCUCAGCACAUAACAUGAGACCCAAGUCCAGGAAAUCCACUUCCCUUUGAAAGAAAAAUGAGUUCAUUCACCCUGCAGCACUGCAAAAAUUAAAUCGUCGUGGCCAAAAUAAAAAAGAGCCUGGCACAUAUCAGGGGCUCAAUAAAUGGCAACAUGAGGAUUUUUGUUGGAUUGAAGAAUAAAGGAUGACUCAGAGCCCCAAAUCUCCAGGGACUGGGAGAACAGCAGUGCCAUCAGUGGAACAGGGAAGGCAAAUUGGGUUGCUUUAAGGGAACACACAAAAGUUGGUUUGAUGGAGGUAGAAUGUGAGGUGCCAGCCAUCUGCCAAGUCCAUGUGGAAUGACUUAGCAGGCAGUUGGGAAAAGAGAGAUGAAAGAGGAGAAAGGGUCAUGACCAAAGUAGUGACUCUCCUUAGAGUUGAUAGAAGAGCCCUGGAGGGGGAAUGGAGCCCCUACAAUGGCCCCAGUGACCCCCACCUACUGGUAUAUAUGCCUUUGUAUAAUCCCCUCCUUUUGAAUGUGGAUGGGACUUAGACUUGAUUCUAAUGCAUAGAAUAUAGCAGAAGUGAUGGGAUGUCACUCCAAGAUUAAGUUAUAAGAGACUGUGGCUUCCCUCUUGGGUGUGUUCCCUUGAAUAACUCACUCUUGGGAAAGCCAACCACUACAUUGUGAAGCAGCACAUGAGUGAGCCUGGAAGUGGAUUCUCUCCCAGUCCUGCCUUGAGGUGGCUGCAGUCCCAGCUGACACCUUGGGUGCAGCCUCCUGGGGGAUCUUGAACCAGAAGCACCUUCUAAAACCACUUCUGGAGUCCUAGC
rnacentral:lncRNA from 1 species